rnacentral:rRNA from 1 species
ACACGCAUGACACACUGCAUAUCAAUAAGCGGAGGAAAAGAAACUAACAAGGAUUCCCCUUAGUAACGGCGAGUGAAGCGGGAAGAGCUCAAAUUUGAAAUCUUCAAGGUUCUACCUUGACGAAUUGUAGUUUAAAGAAGUGUUUUCUGUUAGAGAGGUGGUAAAAGUUCUUUGGAAUAGGACAUCAUAGAGGGUGAGAAUCCCGUAUUUGAUCACUUUCUACUAACGUUGUGAUACACUUUCAAAGAGUCGGAUUGUUUGGGAAUGCAGUCCAAAAUGGGUGGUAAAUUUCAUCUAAAGCUAAAUAUUGGCGAGAGACCGAUAGCGAACAAGUACCGUGAGGGAAAGAUGAAAAGAACUUUGAAAAGAGAGUUAAACAGUACGUGAAAUUGUCAAAAGGGAAGCGUUUGACACCAGUGUUGUUUUUCCGAAAAUCAAUUAAGAAUGGCCGGAUUUUAAGUUUCAUGACCUUAAAAGCUUGUUUCUUAUUUUUCUUGUCUUUCUUAAUGCACUUUUCGGUUAACAAGUCAACAUCAAUUUCUUUUGUUGUAAAAGGUUAAGAGGAAGGUGGCUUUACUUUCGGGUAAAGUGUUUAUAGCCUUUUAACUCUGCAAUCGGAGAGAUUGAGGUCUGCAGCGUAGAUCCUUCGGGGCUAGAUACGUUUGUGCUAAGUUAUAGCUUUUCAUAGACAACUUGUUGACUAUGUUUAGUCUUGUAGCUUACUCGCAUGCGCUAUUUUACCUACGCUUAGGAUGUUGAGCGCAUGUCUCUCUCU